AUUGAACGCUGGCGGCAUGCUUUACACAUGCAAGUCGGACGAGUGGCGAACGGGUGAGUAACAUAUCGGAACGUACCGAGUAAUGGGGGAUAACUAAUCGAAAGAUUAGCUAAUACCGCAUAUUAUUCGAGCGGCCGAUAUCUGAUUAGCUGGUUGGUGGGGUAACGGCCCACCAAGGCGAUGAUCAGUAGCCGGUCUGAGAGGAUGGUACGCCACAAUGGGACUGAGACACGGCCCAGACUCCUACGUGAGGCGGCAGGGGGGAAUUUUGGACAAUGGGCGCAAGCCUGAUCCAGCCAUGCCGCGUGUCUGAAGAAGGCCUUCGGGUUGUAAAGGACUUGUGUCAGGGAAGCGGUACCUGAAGAAUAAGCACCGGCUAACUACGAGCCAGCCGCCGCGGUAAUUC
rnacentral:rRNA from 1 species